CAAAGUCAUUUGCGACGCCAUAAUUACAGUCAUGUAUGAAAUUAUUAACAUUUUUUUCAUUUUCCAUUUCCAUUUUUUAUUAUUAUAUAAUAAAGGAACUCAAGCAGCACGGUGUAUCCCCUCAACAUCCCUUGAAUAUCACCGUGGAAUAUUCCAAUGAUUAUCUAAGAAAACCAAAAUAUAUAUAUAUAUCCAAGUAAUAUUGAGGGAAUAUUCCAGUGAUAUGGAUGAAAUAUUCCACGGUUAUAUUAAAUUAAAUUUUUUUAAUCUUCCUGAUUAUUUAAAUAACAAUUUAUAACACAAUUCCAUGAUUUCAACACUUUAAAAAAGUGGUUCAUUUAAUGACAAUAUUUAGCUUCCUCAUCUUGAUUAACAGAACUUAUACUAUUAGUUUUAAAAAAUUAAAAAUUUUCAUCUUUUGUGAAAAAUAAUGCCAGCAAUUCAAUUCUGACAAAAAUCAACUAAAAUUUUUAUAUAGGAAAAAGUUAUUUAAAAAAUUCAAUUAAAAAGUAAAGAGAAAUGUAAAAAAUAUCGAAUUAAAAAGAAAAAAAUUGACAAAGAUGGUCAGUUAAAAAAUAAAAUUAAAUGUAAGGAAUAUCGUAAAAGUAUUAAAAAAAAUUGAAAACGAUGUGAUGUUAAAAAUUAAAGAUGAGAAAAAUGAUAAACAAUUGCAAUCAAAAAAUAUGGAUAAAUGUAAAAGAUAUCGAAAAAUGAAAAAAAAAUUAAGAAUGAAGAAAUAAAAUUACAAAAUAUUGAAAAAUGUGAAGAAUAUCGAGAAAAUUGUAGAAAAAGAAAAUUAGAAGCCAAUAAUAAUAUUAAUUCAAAAUGUUUGAAGUUAGCAAAUAAUAUAGUAAUUUGUAAGAAUAAAGUUAAGACAACAAACAACAAAAAAACUUAAUGACUUAAUGACCAAAGAUGAAGAUAGAAUUACAGAAAGUUUUUAGGAAAUUUGGAUGUUAUUUGUUAAUUUUGUACAGCUAUGCAUUUUCUUUCAGAAAUGCCAGAGGAUAAAAAGUUUAGUACAUGUUGUCAUAAAGGCAAAGUUUUGUUAACUGAAGAUCCAUUACCCCAGGUAGAAUUAAAAGAAAUGGUUUGUGGUCAAACUGCAAUUAGUAAACAUUAUAAAAAAUGUAUAAGAAGCUACAACAAUACAAUAGCGUUCGCAACCUUUGUGCAACAUAUGCUUCUCGACAAAAUAAAGGUCCUCAAGUCUUUAAAAUUUGUUGUCAAAUUUACCAUAACACAUAUUCAUUACAUCCCAAAGAAAAUGAAUGCAGAAAGUAUGAUAAACUGUAUAUAAUUGACAAUGAAUUAGCUACACAAAGUCGUAAAGAUAUUAAUAAUAACUGCAGACAUGAUAUUUUAUGUAAUUUAGAUAAGUUGAUCAGAAAAAUUAACCCUUAUUCUAAAGCGUACAAAAUGAUGUACGAAGUAGAAAAAGAAGAACAAGAAUUUGCUACUAAUAAUAAUAAUCUACCUCGAGAAAUUAAAAUGAUUAUGAAAAGAGAUAUUAAUUUAGAUAAAAACCGAUAUAACUCUCCUGUUACAAAUGAAGUUGCUGUUGUAUUUGUUGAUGAAAAUGAUGAACCUUCAAUAAAACGCGAUUUUUGUGUAUAUUCUAAAUUUGAUAAACCAAUUAGCAUCUUUGUAAUAAGUAGACAUGUAGAUCCAAUGACAUAUCCUUUAAUAUAUCCUGCAAGAGGUAGUGGUUGGAUGCCGAAAUUAUUAUCAAAAGAUCAAAGAAACAAUAUAACAGCUUUACAGUUUUACUCAUUUAAAAUUAGUGUUAGAGAUGAGUUUAGUCCAUUUCUUAAUUUAGGUAAAUUAAGCCAACAAUUUAUUGUUGAUGCUUUUGUAAAAAUUAAAGGUGCAAAAUUAUAUUUCAUAAAGAAACAACAACAUAUCUUGAGAACUGAAUUAUACUCUGGAUUAAUGGAUUAUUUACAUAAGAGAAAAGAAGAGAAGAAAAAUGUUCAAAUUGGUAAAAUGUUUAUAUUGACAUCUAGUUUUGCUGGAAGCCCUAGAGCAUUACAACAAACUUUUAGUGAUGCAAUUUGUUUAGUUCAAAAAUAUGGUAAACCUAAUUUGUUUAUAACUAUGACAUGUAAUCCUAAAUGGAAAGAAAUUACUGAUAAUAUUAAAAAAAUGAAGAUGUAAUAAAUAGGCCAGAUAUAGUUGCAACAGUAUUUAAACAGAAAGUAAAAGAAUUAUUUCAUGAAAUUACUGUGAAAGAAAUAUUUGGUACUUGUAUUGCUUACACAUAUGUAAUAGAAUUUCAGAAUAGAGGAUUACCGCAUAUUCACUUAUUACUAUAUUUACAUAUAGAUGACAAAAUAAGAACAACAGACGAUGUCGACAACUUUAUUUCAGCAGAAAUACCUGAUGAAAUAACUAAUCCACGUUUAUUUAAUUUAGUAAAGCAAUUUAUGAUUCAUGGACCAUGUGGAAAACAGAACUUAACAUCUCCUUGUUUGAACAUAAAUACAAACAAGUGCACUAAAAAUAAUAUUCUCAAAAAGCAGAAUUGCUGAUAAUAGUUUUGGUGUACCGUACAAUCCGUAUUUACUUUUAAGAAUGAAUGCAAUCAUUAAUGUUGAACCAAUAUGUUCAUCGUUACAUUCAAUUAAGUACCCAGUAAAAAAAAAUAAUUAGGAGUAAGCGAAAAGAAUUGGUGGUAACUUAAGCUGAAUGCGGUUUGGCGAAAAAACCGAAUUGGAACGUUACGGUGAAUUAUUUUUUUCUUACCGCGAAUUCUUUUCUCUUAAACAUUUGAAUUGACGUUUGUUUAUUCGAGUUUGCAUUAUAAAUGAAUAAGAAUAAAUGUUUCGAAGUCUAAAAAAGCCGAUUUGGAAUAAGAAAUAUAUAAUUUAAAAAAAAAGAAAUAAAAGUGAAAUGUGAUAGAUUUACCGACAAUUUUACCAUGUGAGUACUACUCAUAUGGUAAAUUUAUCAUAUGAACACUACUCACUUGAUAAAAUCGUCGGUCACUGUACGCGCGGACGAUGAACAAAGUAUUUUGCUCACCGUUAAGCGGUGGCCAAAACAUUUUGCUCAUCGUCCGCGCGCAGAAUGAGGGAGUCGGCCAUUUUGAAUAGCUGCAAGUAGCUGUCAAACGAGGUUAUGCCUGCACUUAUAAAGAAAAAUAUGGUUCGAUACUCGUUGCCUCACGAGCGUAUGCCCAUUACUCGUGUAAUGAGCAAAACGCUCGUUUGGCCCCUUGUAUCGAAAUAUACUAUUCUCAAAUUGUGUGUUUUUAAACUUACUUUUCAAAAAUAUUGAAUUUUUUUUAAACGAUAUUACUAUUAAAUUUUUCAGUUUUAAUGAUAAAAAGUCAUUUUUAGGGUUCCGUACCCGAAGGGGGAACCCUAUUAAUGAGACUAGUGAAGCAAGGCAUGUACCCCCCCCCCUAGCGGCCACACGAAUUUAUCUAGAUGGCUGCAAUUUGGUAUACAUAUGUAUUUUGGCGUGUAGAUUACAGGAAAAAUAUAGCGAAUCUCAUAGGAAUUAAUUAUCAUAGCGUUGUCAAGGAAAAACCAUGAAUUUUUACGAAAAAUCCCUAAAAAUGACUAUGUACCCCCCCCCCCUGGUUGCCACAUCUUUUUACAUAGAGAGCUCAAAUUUGGUACACUUACGUAUUUUUACGUGAAAAUUACAGGAAAAAUAUAGCGAACAUGAUUCGGAUUAAUUUACAUAGCGUUGUCAAGGAAAAAUCAAAAAUUAAAAAAAAAAGCGAUUAAUCCUCCUAGCGCACACAAUAUUUGACGAAGGCAGUUCAUAUAUUUGGUAUACUUACGUAUUUUUGCGUGUACAUUACAGGAAAAAUAUAGCGAGCACAAUUGGAGUUGAUGUUCAUAUUGUUUUUAAGGAAAACGAGACGCAUGCCUAAUCCCGCAUCUUGAUAUUGUCUACGCAUAACACCGUCUAAUUUAAAAAUGUAAACGCAGAAAUAGUUCAAAUUUAUUUUUGUCUAAUGUUAUUUAGGGAUAACUUUUAUUGUUUCAAAGAACAAUUUUGUAGAAAAUAUUUUCAUAGAAUAAUAUUUUCAUCGAUUUAUAAUUGACUAUAAUCAUAAAAUUUUCAAAUUUAUUUCUAUCGAAAAUUUAAAUAAUGUAACAUUUUUAUAAGCUACGGUGUAUAUUUUCUAAGAUUUAUUGAACCAAAUAAGAAUAUUUGCUAAUUUAAAAUUGUCCAAUUUAUAAUUAUAUAUAAUUUUUUGUAUCUACUUGUUAUUUAGUCAAUGUUAAAAUUCUCUAGAUGUAAGUUUAUCAAAAUUAUAAAAAUAAAAUUUAAUUUUGUCUACUUUUUUUUUAAUCUAAUCGUUACUUUGUAAAAUAUUUUAAUUUAUAAACGUAAAUUAACAAACAUUUCUUGAUAUCUAACCUCAAUUUGCACAACAGUAUUAUCGUAUAUCAUAAUAAUCUCGAAAAUAUUCUAGUGUCAGCUUUUUUUUGUCACAAAAUAAAAGAAGUCACUCUCUGGACAUGAGUUUCUCAUCCCUGUGAAUUUAUUUCUGUCGGUAAAAGUAGAUGUAGAGGGCUCUACUGAUUAUUUCUGAAAGGAAUUGAAAGCGCGACAAUGCCUUGGUAAUUUUCACCGUGAGAGGGUCUGUACUGUUUGUUACUUUUUUCUUAAUAAAUAGUUUUUGAUUUAUAACAGAUAUAAAAAAAUAUGUUUUCUGCAGUGAUUUUAUUAUACAAGGUCGAGGGUAAAUGCACGUGAGUUUUUAUUUUUGUUAUUUACUGUCAGGGCAAAAAUAAAAUAUCCGUAUUCACAAUUUUAUAGAUUCGUUUUAGCGAAACAUCAUGUGUAAUAUUCUUUUGACAAUGGAUAAAGUUACCAGCAAAACUAGUAGCCUAAAGGCUCUUUUACUGAGAGAGCUUGGCAUGAACGUUGAAGUGAUCUACAGUGGGGCAUAAAUAUUAAAACUAUUUUACCGCGAGGUGUAAGUGGCCAAGUUCUACAAUCUAGCAGACUGUAUACUUCAACAAGCUCUAGUUAGUCCGGGUCCAAAUCAUUUACCUCAAACAUUCGCUCAAUUCUCAGGUGAUUGCAAAUAUUUAUGAGUCUGCUGAUUUUCCUGGAAACGAUUCAUAUUGGGAUAACGUGCCGUGGAAAACCGGAGUAGGAUCUUCUUGCCCCAGCAAUAUUGUCGGUCGUGCAUUGGUUGUUGCAGUGUUACUUGCAAGCAUUGUCGAAAGCGCCACAAAAUAAUCCACUCAUCCCGCAAUCAUCUAAAUUGAUCGACAAACCUGCCAGUAUUCUCAAAGAAAUGCCCAAUUCCAAUUUCAUCUGCGCCAUGAUGUAUUUAGCCAAACACGACGACAAAGAAUUAUUUAUAUUAUCUGAAAGAUCUUUAUGGGGAGGUCGUUAAGAAAUGUCAGGAAAUCGAGGUGCAAUCACUGCUGGCCGUUCAGGGCUCAUUGAAUUCAAGCACAGAAACGGCAACUUUUGUCAGUCAAUUGCAAAUGGUGCAACGUCUGAAAAAUUACACGAACGCGCGACUUUAUUGCGAGCUUAUUCGCGCUAGUUUAAUGAGUUUACACAGGGUCACCGGAUCAUUCAGCGAGUCACACUGGUGAUGAAAAAUUCGAGUACUCGAUUCAAAAGCAAAAAGUGAGUCACUAAUUCAAAUUAGUAAACAUUUUUUUUAAUUCAGAUUUAGAGAGCACCAGUAAUUAAAACUUUUGUUCGUUAAAUUCAACAUCAA